rnacentral:lncRNA from 1 species
GGUCUGUUGACAGCAACCUGCACAUCAUUCUGAGCAGGAAAGUGGGACCCAGCAUUGGUGUACUUUCCUUCAACAGAAACCCCAGGGACGUUUGACCCUUGUGAGACCCCAGCUUGAACUUGUUGCUCGGGAACAUCAGUUUUCUGAACUUGAAGUCUUCCAUUGCCCACACCAGCGGAUGGGGGAGGUGCCUCAGGCUGCUGAAACUGCAAUAAACCAUCUCCGACAUUAACAUCAUUAUAUAGAUCAUCAUACUCAUCAUCUUCUCCCAUCAACUCUUCAUCUGCAAGAGCAGGUAUAGCUCCACCUCCCUGAUACUGCAUCUUUUGAGCCCCUCCAUACUCGUCCUCCUCAUAAUCUAUUUGUUCUUCAGCCAUCGAAUCCAUUUAAGCUGACCAAGUUACAUCAAAAUAAAGAAAUAUUAUCUCUAUUCCUCCCAUGCAGAACUAUGAACAAAGAUAAAAGACCACUCAAAAUUGUUCUGCUUCUCUACAUCAACAGGUUUUAGAGCCAAAGAUCACCAAUAUUAAAGACCAACAUAGCUCAAAUUUAAGCAGAAUGUGAUUCAUAUGUAUAAACACAUAAUCAACACUUAUUAAUACAAAAGAUCCAUCACCCACCAAGGAAUACAUUUAAGAACCAUAAGAAACACGUCACCAUCCAUCCUAUAACAUAAAAAAAAAAAAAAAAAAAAAAAAACACAAAUCUGCAACACCCGCCGGGUAAAAUUACAUGAAUUACACAGAAACCCUACCCACAAGUGCAAAAAUAACAUAAAAAGGACAAAUCUCCAACACCCACUUCAUGAAGUCAAAAGGACACAAAUCCUUAAAAACCUGUCAAAUUACAUCAUCCAGUAAACAAAAAAUUACAUAUACAUUUCACUACAACGAAACUGAAAAACAUCGGAUAAGAAAAAAAAAAUUAACAAAACGCAGAAUCGAAUCGGGUUUUAUUUAGGUACCCUUACUCUUCUCCCCUCUGAAGAUGUAUGUUUUAUUAACCCUUUAGCUUAAAAAACUAACAGCGCUUGAGCAAAUUGUAUUCACCUUUCUCUUGUUCUUUGAUUUCUGUUUGUAACUCUGUUUUCUGCGCUGGUUGUACAGUGAAACCCUUAUGGAUUUGAUUCAGGUUUCGUCUUUCCCAGUCGGGCGAAUGGCCAAAUACGUGAUAUCUUAAGUCUCUAUAGAUUUAAUAUUAGUUAAAUAAAUUUUUAACCAGCCUUCUCGUAAUUUCCAAGAGUUUAUAGUGGAGAGUUUUCACCGAACUAAAUUUCAUGCUAUUUUCAUAUUUUUCAUUUGUGUAAUUAUACAUUUUACUAUCAUAUAAUUUCCUCAAAAUGAAAUAUUUUAUGAAAUAUUAAAAUAAAAAUUUGGAAUACCUAUUAUUAAUAACCAUAGACAUUUUACAUCUUAACAUUUCAACUGAAAUAAUGUGUUGCAUAAAGUUACUAGAUCAUAUAUUUUUAUAUGUAUUAUUAUAUCAUUUACUUCAUUGAUAACACAUCACUUAACAUAAAAUUUUAUUAUACUUAAUACUAUUAAUAUUAUAAAAUUAAAUAUUAUCCCAUUAACUAUUUAUUAUUGUUAUUAUUAUUAUUUUAGAAAUUACAAUUAACUAAGCAUUAGCUUAGUUAAUGGUAAUUAAUAUUUUCAUCCCAUACCUUCCCUACAAUUUAAUUCAAGUGGUUAACUAAAGAAAACAGUGGUUAAGCUCAUAUAAGGAAAAACAAAUUGUCAUGGUUUAUAUGAUUCAAUGUAUUAUUAUUUUAAUUUAAUACUUCUACACAUGGAGAUAACUAAAUUUAAUACUCCUACACGUGGAGAUAACUUUUUUGUAUAUGUCUUAGUAAUGUGAUUGUUUGUAUAUGUCUUAGUAAUGUGAUUGUUACUUAUAUGCAAUAUAAUGUCAUUAGUUAAAAAGUAGGACUAUUUAUACCCUAUAAAAUAUUUUGAACACCCUUUAUUAAAAUUUUAAUAUAAAUUUAUACUUAACACACCCUCUUCACACCGAUGAAAAUAUUUUUCUCACAAAACUAUGUUUCUUUUCCUCAAAAUUGCUAAGUGCGUAAUAGCUUGACAUUAUGCAUACAUAUAAGAGCACACAUACAUAUAAUCAUAUGUUCUUAAAGUUAAUAUUGGCGGGAGGGUAAACUUGAUUUAAAAUUUCAUAAAUGUUAAUGUCCUCAAUCUUAAGCUUUAUGCAUACAAUUAUGAAUAUUUAAUCUCUACUCAUAAAAACUAAAAAGGGAGGAAUAAAGAACAAACAUUUGUAAGUUCUUGACAUUAAUGGUGCGUUUACUUCAUGAGAAUGUGAAUAAUGUGGAAUGGGAAUGGGUUGGAAUGGGAAUGAAAUUUCAAUGACAAAAAUAAAUGGGAAUGGGAAUAUACUGGAAUACCAUUGAUGUGUUUACUUGACAAAAUAAAUGGGAAUGAGGAAUGAGAAUGAGAAUCAAUUUACCAAAAUAUCCAUAGUAUUAAUAAUUAAUAAAAAUAAUUAAUUUAUCAUUAUUAACAAUAUUAUCAUUAUUGUUUUUGUUGUUGUUAUUAUUAUUAUUAUUAUUAUUAUUAAAAAUCAUUAAUAAUAACUAAAAUAAAAAAGUUAAUAAAAUUUAAUAAUAAUAAUAAUAUAAUUAUUAUUAAAUUAUAUUAACUUUAUUAUUUUAGUUAUUAUUAAUUAUUGUUAAUAAUAUUUUUAUUAAUAUUAUCAUUAUUAACAUUUAUUAUUAUUAAAUUUUAUUAACUUUUUUAUUUUAGUUAUUAUUAUUUUUAUUUUUAUUAAUAUUAUCAUUAUUAAAUUUAUUAUUAUUAUUUUUAUUAUUAUUAAAUUUAUUAUUUUAGUUAUUGUUAAUUACUGUUAAUAUUAUUUUUAUUAAUAUUAUCAUUAUUAACAUUUAUUAUUAUUAUUAUUAACUUUAUUAUUUUAGUUACUAUUAAUUAUUGUUAAUAUUAUCAUUAUUAACAUUUAUUAUUAUUAUUAUUAUUAUUAACUUUAUUAUUUUAUUUAUUAUUAAUUAUUGUUAUUACUAUUUUUAUUAAUAUUAUCAUUAUUAACAUUUAUUAUUAUUAUUAUUAUUAUUAUUAUUAUUAUUAUUAACUUUAUUAUUUUAGUUACUAUUAAUUAUUGUUAAUAUUAUCAUCAUUAACAUUUAUUAUUAUUAUUAUUAACUUUAUUUAUUAUUAAUUAUUGUUAUUACUAUUUUUAUUAAUAUUAUCAUUAUUAACAUUUAUCAUUAUUAACAUUUAUUAUUAUUAUUAUUAAAAUUAAAUUUUAUUGAAUUUGUUAUUUUAGUUAUUAUUAUUUUUAAUAAUAAUAAUGAUAAAUGUUAAUAAUGAUAAUAUUAAUAAAAAUAAUAAUAACUAUAAUUAAUAAUAACUAAAAUAAUAAAGUUAAUAAAUUUUAAUAAUAAUAAUAAUAACAACAAUAAGGAUAAUAUUGUUAAUAAUGAUAAAUUAAUUAUUUUUAUUAAUUAUUAUUUUUAUCAUUAUUUUUAUUGUAAAUAAUGAUAAUAUUACUGAUAAUAAUAAUAAUAAUUAAUAAUAACCAAAAUAAUAAAGUUAAUAAAAUUUAAUAAUAAUAAUAAUUAUUAUUAUUAAUGACAUUUAAAAUAAUAUUAUUAUUUGUGAUUUGAAUAAGGGUAAUUUAGGAAAUAUGAAAAAAUUAGAAGGAUAGAAAAAUAAAUUUAUGUUUUAUUAUCAUUCCCAACUCCCCAUGGGAAUGUGAUUCGCAUUCCUUAUUUCAGAUUGUGUGGGACCUACACAUUUUAUUCUCAUUUCCAAAUUACAUUUUGUUAAGUAAACAUAUGUUUCAUUCUCAUUCCUUCAUUCUAAUUCCCCAAACCCAUAAGUAAACACAGCAUAAGAACUUAUUCAGAUGAAUAUUAAUUUUGUCUCACAUUAAUUACAGUCUUUUUUUAUCCGUCUCAUUCCAUAAAACGAAUGGAAAUAUACUACUCCGUUCAAUAAUGCUAUUCCUCACAACUCUACCAACUCCAAUGAAGGAGACAAAGUUAAAUGUGUAAAACGCACUAAAUGCAUGCUUGGAUCAUAAAAGGGAGUUGCUUGAAGCCUUGAACCUGUAAAAUAAGAGUAAUGAUGCAGCAGGAUUUUGUAGCUCUGCUUUUGUAGGAAUCAUGGGACAUGUUGCGAAUAUGAUUGGUGAUGAAUAUUGCAUGGAGAUAAUCACAUAGAUAAAUGUUGUUGAUUCCACAUAGUUUAUCGGUGAUAAUAAAGUUAUAUCAAACUCUAAUAGAAGGGUAUAGUUAAGAAUAAUAUUUUAUUUCAUUGCAUAAGACACUCUUUAGUUAUAAAAUCGAAGUCGAGUGUUCAUAAUAUUUUUUACGAUGUAAAUAGCCCGCCCAUGAUUAAAAAUAUAAAAUUAACAAGGACUUAUAUAAAGAUCUUUAUGUGCAGGUAAAAUAUGAAUAGGACGAGGGAAAGUGAUUAUAAUAAUAUUAUAUCAUAGAAUUUAUAUGUUUACACAUUAAAAAAAAUGGUUGAAUCAUUUAAAUAGAGACUUGGUAACGUAGAAAACUGAAGUAAAAUAACAAGAAUUUUGUUAAAUCAAAGACGAUUUGGUUGGAAUUUGGCAAAGAAAUGGAACCCUAAUUUUUACUAAAAUUAGGCAAAAGAAAGCUUCUUCCCAAUUUGUUAAGUAAAUUCCUAUUUACCAGCUCAGAAUGGCUAUCCUGAGUUUGUGGAAAUAAAGCAACGGGUGUCACCACAAGAUAUGAUGAAUUCCCCUAAUCAAGGACAAACCCAUCACCAUAAAUAAACCCGACAAUCUCUUCCUCAAAUCAUCCCCAGCAUUUGAACGAUCUGCAUUGUUCUCUAUAUUCAGUAGAGAACCUUGCAUAUAAGGGGACAAAAAAUUAAAAAUAAUAAGACGAAAAACACAAACCCCAUCGUACAUGAUGGCUCGCCAGGUCAUUGUUCUUGCUCUCAUUUUUGUAGCCAUUAUCAGUGUGGCCUCAGCCCAGCAGGAACCCAUUAUUCAGCCACAACCCAAUGAACCCCAGCAGCCUAAUCAGCCGCAGGAACCCAAUCAGCCUAACCAACCCCAGGAACCCAAUCAGCCUCAGGAACCCAAGCAGCCUGAUCAGCCACAGACACAGCCACCUACCCAGCAACCACAGCAGCCCCAGCAGCCAAAUCAGGCACCCGGUGAGGCACCAACACAGGCACCUCCAGCCGGUGGUGCACCCGCACCGGCACCCGGAGAAGCCCCAGCAGGAGGCCCAAGCAGUGGACCAGCUGCUGGACCUGGACCUGCAGAAGGCCCCUCUGGCGAGGCUAAGUUGCCUGAGGUUGCAAUGCCAGGACCAGUGGGCGAGGGAGAUGAGAACAAGUCGGAAGGGAGUGGUGCAAGCUCCCUCAAAGUCUCCGCCCUCGUCGCUGGUGUUGCAGUCGCUGCUGCUUUCUUCUACUAAUCAUGAGCAAAUUAGCUACGUCUACAAAACCACGUACCCGAUUGACUAACAUUCGUCGGUUGUCUACCGCAAAGCUCAUUUGAUAUAUGGAUUUGUUUGUCAUUAAAAUUCGAGGUUUUACGUAUCAUGAUGAGUUUUAAAAUAUUGUGGAUUGGAGAUAUUUGGAUCUAUCAUUGGAUAAUUUCUAAGUUUAACCAAUUUUUAUCAUCAUAUGUGCCUGUGGGUGCCUCUUCCGAGUUGAGGCUCGUAUAUAAAAAUAUUAUCCAUUGUUUACGUCCUGCAGGCUGCAUGGCGACUGAUCGAUGCAUGUCUUUAUCUUUGGUCAAUUGCCUUUUGUUCUUUAUGGAAUAGGGUGGUGCUUAAUCCUGAAGAAAUGAAAUUGCUCGCAUUCAAUCACAAUAUUGUCACGAUUUGCUUUAAUUUAAAGAUUUUAUUAAUCCCGCCUAUUUAAAUAAAUAAUAUCCUGGCUUUAAUUUAUUGAGAUGAAAUUAAAACGAGACUUUGGAAUCCCUGAUCAGACGACGAGCGCUUGUUGCAGCAAGCAAUAAUAAAAGGUGGCGAACCAAGUGAAUGAAAUAUAUAUCCGGAUCCCCUGAGUUACAGUUAACGCAACUUACAGGAGCUGCUUUAGUCUUCUCUGAAUUGUCGCCGUAAAAUAUCGUGGAGCCCCUGUACUUUAUAUUAUUGAAAAUUUAUAAAUAUAAGUAGGGUUAUUUUUAAAGACCUCCCCUGAGGUUUAGUGUACUUACAGUCGGAUAGAAAGUAUGCAUGUAAUUAUAGGAACCUCCCCUAACGUUAGUAUUCAAAUACGUAUGGCAUCAGUAUGUAAGGGUAAAUGUGUAAACAUAUAUUUAAAAUUAAAAAAAAAAAUCAAAAGUGAGAUGAUUUUGUUGAUUCGGCUCUUUCACAGCCCUUCAAAGGAGCCAACAUCAUCGGGACCCUCACAGCUCUCAACGCCGAAGUCCGCUGGUGGUCCUGCAAUAUCUUCUCAACCCAAGACCACGUGGCCGCCGCCAUCGCACGUAACUCAGCCUCCGUCUUCGCUUGGAAGGGCGAGACCCUCUAGGAGUGCUGGUGGUGCACAGAGAAAGCUCUGGAUUAGGGUCGCGGCGGCCCAGAUCUCAUCAUUGACGACGGUGGUACGCCACGUUGUUGAUCCACGAGAGGGUCAAAGCUAAGGAGAUCUACGAGAAGACCCGGAAGCUACUCGACCCGGCCUCCACCGACAACGCCGAGUUUCAGAUUGGUUGUACCAGAUGCAAGAAAAUGGAACCCUCUCGUUCCCUACCAUCAAUGUCAAUGACUCUGUCACCAAUAGUAAGGUAAUUUACUUUGAUUUGCUUCAGAUCUCAAAUUUAUUUUAUACUAUCAAUUCAUUAAAUGUUUGAAAUAUUGGAAGAAAUUAAAUACUAAUGUUUGAUAAUGCAAUGGGGGAAACAAUUUGAUGACUUGUAUGGAUGCCGCCACUCGCUCCCAGAUGGUUUGAUGAGAGGUUUUGAUGUUAUGAUUGCCGGAAAGGUUGCUGUUGUUUGCGGUUAUGGUGAUGUUAGCAAUGGUUGUGCUGCUACUUUGAAGCAAGCCGGUGCAUGUGUAAUUGUAACUGAGAUUGAUCUGUACUAGGAAGUUAGGUUUAAAUUUCGUAGGAGUGUGUGUUUGGGUGGUGGGAAAGUUGAAGGAAAGAAAUAGAUUGGUUUCAGUUGAUUGAAGACCAUUUGGGAUUUGAAUAAGGUUAUGGAUGGAGCUGUGUGGAUCAUUUUGUAUUUGAUGCAGUUUUAAAGUUUUGCUUGCUUUGCUGCAUCUUGUUAUCCUAUUAUUUACUUAUGAAUGAUUAAAAAAAUUUUGUUUGGAGGUCAAGAAAAAACGAGAGAAAAUUUCAAUGAAAACGGAGAAUCAGUCUAAAAAAUAACUUAUCAUUUUGAGGAGAAGGGUACUUUUGUAAUUUUAACGGUCUACUAACAGUCAAACUAACUGGAUACUAACGUCAGGGGAGGUGCUUGUAAUUACGUGGAUACUUUCUAUCUAACUGUAAAUACACUAAACCUCAGGGGAGGUCCCUAAAAAUAACCCAAUAUAAGUAUUACGAAACUUUCUGUAUUGUAAAAUUUUGUUCAGACUCUUGCACUCUAUUUUAUUUCAUUGAAACCUUCAGAGUAUCAAAUUCAUCCCCUAUAAUUUUUAAAUUCUCAAAAUACCCUUCAUUUAAGUAAAAUAUCAUUAUUAUUAAAUGGAUUAUAGUUAUAAUUACAAUUAAAAUAAUUAUUUUAUUAUAAUUAUAAUUAUAAUUUUUAAAUGGAUUAUUAUAAUUAUUAUUAAUAACAAUAAUAAAAAGUUAUAAUUAAUUAAUCUAUUAACAAUAAUUAAUAAUAAUUUUUAUUUAAAUUGUUAAUAAUAAUAAUUAACAAUAAUUGUUAUGAAUAAUUAAUUUUUGAAUAAUAAUAAUCACAAUAAUUAAAAUAUAAAAUAAUAAUUAUGAUAAAAAUUAAUUAAGGAUUUUAUAAUAACCUUCAAGGAUAUUAAUCAUCGACAAAAUUUUUAAGGAUAUUAUCAUUCAUCUUCUUUAUAAUAUCAUCUCAUAAUAAUUAAUAUUUUCAUGAUAAAAGGAUUAACAAAAUAAAAAGUAAAUUUCCUUUGAAUUCAUCCAUUUCCACUAUUAACUUCUUUUCAUAAGCAACCUUCAUUGAUAAUUGAAGCCAUCAUUAGACUCAUCAUAGAGAAAGAGAGUGAGAGUGCGGAAGAAGAAAUGGGGAAAAAAAUGAAAUGUUUACAAUUUUAUAGUGUAUUCACUAAACAAUAAUCAAAAUUAGCUGGAAACAUAAUGAGUUAGAAUCGAAAUGAGAAAUUGGAAUCAGAAUAAUUUAUUUACUUGAAUUGCAAGAAUCGUAAUUACAAUGAGCUAUAUUACUAUUUAUAUGUUUUACUUUGUUUUAGAAUCAAAAUCGGAAUGAGUUAAAUUGUAACAAAUUAAUAUAAACAAAUCCUUAAUUAAUUUUUAUUGUAAUUAUUAUUUUGUAUUUUAAUUAUUGUGAUUAUUAUUAUUAUUCAAAAAUUAAUUAAUAAUAAUAAUUAUUGUUAAUUAUUAUUAUUAUUAACAAUUUAACUAGAAAAUUAUUAUUAAUUAUUGUUAAUAGAUUAAUUAAUUAAUUAUAAUACUUUAUUAUUAUUGUUAUUAGGGAUAUUAUCAUUUUCCCACCUAAGGUAUUCUGACACAUCAUGUCAGUACCACGGUUUGGUAAAACUAUCAAUUUACCACCAAACGUUUAAACUGUUAGCAUUUUCCCACCAUUCCGUUAAAACUCAUUUAAUAUGUAACGGAAAAUUUCUAAAAGGUCAAUUUUACCCCUGGAGUAUAAAAAACCAUGUAAUUAACCUUUUAUGAAUUUUGUAAUUAAAUCAUCAUUUGUUGUUCUUCAUUCUUAAAGGACAAAAAUUACCAUUUAUGAAUUUUGUAAAAUUGACCAUGUGGUAUUAGGUACUUCAUAAAUUGAUUUAAUUGAUUUAAUUUUUAAAGGGCAAAUUUAUUUAUUUAAUUUUUUGUGUAAAAUUAUUAUCAUCAUAUCAAAGAUUAAAUUGCUUCUUUUGCACAUUCUUUUUUUUUUCCCUUUCAUAAAUUGAUGUUUAGUAGUAGAAUAAAUUGUCUUUAGCUCGACAAUUUAAUAAAUAAAUUUGACCUUUAAAAAUUAAAUAAAUUAAAUCAAUUUAUAAAAGUACCUAGCACCACAUGGUCAAUUUUAUAAAAUUUAUAAGGGGUAAUUUUUGUCCUUUAAAAAGGAAGAACAACAAAUGAUAAUUUAAUUACAAAAUUCAUAAAAGGUUAAUUACAUGGUCUUUUACACUUCAGGGGUAAAAUUGACCUUUUAUGAAUUUUCUGUUACAUAUUAACGGAGUUUUAACGGAAUGGUGGGAAAAUGCUAACAGUUUAAACGUUUGGUGGUAAAUUGAUAGUUUUACCAAACCGUGGUACUGACAUGAUGUGUCAGAAUACCUUUGGUGGGAAAAUGAUAAUAUCCAUUGUUAUUAAUAAUUAUUAUAAUAAUCCAAUUAAAAAUUAUAAUUAUAUUUAUAAUUACAGUUAGGGGUGGGCGUUUGGAUCGGGUUAACCUGAACCGAACGAAACCCGAAAUUUUAUUUUGGUCUCGGUUUGGUUUGUGUUAACUAUAAAAAUCCAAAUGGAUUCAAAUUUCCAACCGGUUCGGCUUGGAUUUCGGUUCGGGUUGAACCCGAAUCGAAAUCGAGACCAGAUCGGGUUAAUUGAAAAAAAUAAAUAAAUAAAACUUAGAACACCAAAAAAUCAAAACCCUUAUUUCCUCUUUUCUCUUCUUUGCACUCCACAUCGAGACAAGCACAACCUCAACCCCAGCACACUCACAAUCUCACUCACAAACACCACCGGUGUCAAUUCAACUCAGUUAAGGUGCAUCAGCGUUGCAAUUUUAGAUUCAGAUGCUGCCUCCUUCUUCGUUUCAGAUCUAGUAUUCUUGGGCCCUUCGCUUUAGAUCUAGUCGUUGCCUCCUUCUUCGUUCGUAGUCGUCAGGAGCACAAGGUGAUGUUAAUGUCGAUGAUGUUUACGAUUCCGAUGAUGUUAUUUUUAGUGAUGUUUGCAUUUCGCUGCCUCCUUCUUCGUUAUUGUUAAUUGAAUGUAUAUUUUUGGAAGGAUUUGGUUUUCGGGACUUGGCAAACAAAUCCAAUCUCAGGUUCUAUUCCUCUGUUGAUACCCGUUUGCACUUAUCCAUUAGAAUUUUAUUAUGACGUUGCAACUCUCUGCGUAGCAACUGUAGUUUGUCUUUAACAGGAAUGGCUGCAUCUAUUUCAGCAAGAACUUGUAGGGUUGGCAAAAACCCGGGUCCGGUCCAGGUUUGGCCAUGCCCGGGACUGGACCGGAUCAAUAAAACAGCUGCCCGAACCGGGAUUGUGCCCGAUUUUUUCACAUCCAAUCCAGGUCAGGCCCGACACCUCCCGAGCACGGGUUUUUUAUCCGGGCUUUCUCUGCCCAGAUAAAUUACUGGUUUGCUGUAGUUAUUAAAGAUUCCAAUGAAAUCAACCUUGCAAAUCAUUCCAUUUACGGCAAAUCAAUUCCAAAACCAGCCAAUCUUAAAAUGCAAAAGUUUGAUAUCCAUGGAGCAAUGUUUGUGGUUCUUUGCCAAAAGAAUAGCCUGAAAAACGUGAGUCGAUGAUCUGCACUGCGUGGGUUCGAGUGGCUGGGUUCGCGUCGCGUGGGUUCGAGUGGCUGGUGCUAGGUUUACUGCUGGCUACUGCUGAGGUGGCUUCAUGCAUCGUGGCGGUGUGCUGGCCGGGUUUGUUGGAGGCUGCUGCUGCGGUGAUUUCACGUGGCUGCUGGGUUCGUAAAUCGCUACUUUACUGUUGGUGGUUGUGCUCGUGGCUGCUGGAUUCGGCGAUGAUUGGUCGUGGGUGCUAUUGUCGUGCUGGUUUUGAUCGGUUAGGUGAUGGCUGCUUGAGAGAUGUGUAAGAAGUGCAUACUGCACAGCAUUUAAUUUUAGAUAUUUUUUUAAAGGAGAAAUGCAAAUUAUGAAGAAAUUUGUGCUAUUAGAAUGAAAAAAAAAAUGAACUAAUUUGCAGAUUUUUUAUUUGAAAAGGAUUCAUGCUAGAGAAAGCCAAAAGUAAAGAAAAAGAAAAGAAGAAAAAAAAAAGAACCAUAGUCAUAUAACAGCAUGUGAGGGCUAUCAAAUGGUGCUUAAAGCACUCAAGAGUCAAGAUCUAAGCCAAGUGGUGGUCAAAGCACUCAAGAGCCAAGAGCUUGAGUGCUUUUGCUUUUUGCAAUCAGAUGAUGAUUUUGCAGGAUGUAUAAGACGUUUUUGCAAUCAGUGCUAGCUUGGAGUGUUUGCUGGGGGGGUGUUUGCUUUUUGCAGUUGGCAGCUUGUGUUUCCUUGGAAUGUUGAGUGGUGGCCGCUAGCUUGGAGUGUUGGAGAGCUGGAUGUGCGGCAGCCGGCAGUAGUGCUUGUGUUUGCAUACGAAUAAGAUAGAAAAUUACGGUAAGUUUCAAUUUUGGGUGUAUUACAUUUAUAUAUAUAUAUUUUAACUUAUCAAAACCCGGGCACGGAUCCGGGUUCCGAGUUUUUGGUGCCACAACCGGAACCGGACCUGGAAGUAUCCGGGUUUUAAACUUCAAUAACUGGACCCGUAUUAUUUGUAUAUGCGGUCCGGGUUUUGCCCGGACCUGAUUGGCCGGUUCCGGGCGGGUUUUAUUGCCACCCCUAAGAACUUGCCGAUAUACAUUCUAGAUUAUGCAUAUUUGCUUAACAUCAAUUACGAUUGGCCUUGAUAUGUGCUCCAAACUCUUGCAUAUAUAGAAUUGAACUUUAUUUUUAUUCUGAUUUAAGAUUUAAGAUUUGAGAAUUUAAAAUUUUAGUUGGUUAAUGACGAAUGUUUGGACAAUCAAACUAUUAUAACCCGAUUUCAACCCAAACCCAAAUUUCGAUCUGAAUUACUAACCCAAACCGAACCGAAAUAAUUUCGAUUCGGUUUAGUUUAGGUUUGUCUUUUGAACCCGAUUGGGUUGAAACCCAAACCGAAAUCCAAACAACCGAACUGAAACCUAAUUUGCCCACCCUUAAUUACAGUAAAAUAAUUAUUAUAAUUAUAAUUAUAAUCCAUUUAAUAAUUAUUAUAUUUUAUUUACAUGGAGGGUAUUUUGGGAAUUUAAAAAUUAUAGGGGAUGAAUAAUGAAUUUCAUACUCUAAGGGUUUCAAUGAAAUAAUAUAGAGUGUAAGACGCUGAACGAAAUUUUACAAUACAAAAAGUUUCACAAUACUUAUUAAUAAAUUGUGAAUAAUAUAAAGUGCAAGGGGCUCAGAGAUAUUUUACAGUAACAUUUCAGCAAACAGAGAAACAGCGGCAAGUUACGUUAACUGUAACAUGGGGAAUCCGAUCCGGAUCCAUAUAGGGGGAUCCUAUAAGGAUAUAUUGACAACCUAAGUUCGUAUCCGAGGAUAAGUACAGAUCCUUGAGGGCAAUAACAGACGGCAAUUAAACUUUGCGUUUCCUUCAAAUAUUCGAUAUUCCUCCAUACAUCCGGUGUCUUAUAAACGGGACGAAUUUCGUCGCCGUAGCCGGUAAGUGCUAAAAGUUAAAAGGUUUUCAGAAUUAUAUACCGCUGCCUUCUCCAACUUGCUGAGCUUUCAGCUUUGCACUCUUGAAUUCUGAAUACGACAUUAAUUUUUGUAAUUAGACAGACAUUAACAUUUAACCGGCCCGGCCGGGAACUUCAAGUUGUUAAAUAUGACAUGAACAUUCAGUAUCGGGAACCACGUUGUGUAUAAAGUAAAGAAAAUGCACAAGAAAAUCUUUCAACAUCAUCAAAUCGAGGGCCAGUGCACAACGCUGGCAUUUGCAUUGAGCUUUCUGAAACUGAAACUGAAACUGAAACAGUAACAGCACAGAUUGGCUGAUAAAAUACAUAACUAUAAAUUAUGGAGAUAAAAUUUUUGGAAUUAAAAAAGAUUCCUGAAGUGGCAGAUUAAACUGGAGGAUUGGUCAUCAGAUAGAUGGAACAGACGCGUACACUACACAGGCAGUUGGAAAUAUUUAUACAUGGAACUAACAAGAAUCAGUCAUACCCAACUCCUAAAUUACAUGACAAAACUAAAGAUUCACAAAGCAGAACUGGAUGAAGCGAGUGAUCUUGUAAAAGAAUACAAAAGCCAAGAAUAAUGCACGAGAGAGCAUGCCAUGCUAAGUAAAAAUUGCAGCUGCCAGUGUGGGGAAAGGCAGCUUUCCACAUUAAGCAAGUAGAAACCCUCGGAACAACAUAGUCAGGUGGGUAUCUGAGAUUAUGCCUCCUUAAAACUCAUAAUCUCAUUCCUCAGACAGGAAACCUAAUGUACAUUUGAGCAGAACAUUUCAAACCCUCUCCAUAAACCACAAAACUUUCAUCCCUAAUCACUUUUCUGGUAUACAAAAACAGAGACAAUGAUCAAUCUAUCAAUAAAAAUCCAUCGAAAGAAACGGUACAAAUGAAAAUCAAAUCUGAUUACAACAAAUUCAUACUGCAUGACAGAGGAAAUGUACAUGGAAUGUGGCAUCAUGCCUUCACCUGCAACAUUCUCAAAACAACCAAAACUCUCAGUUCCAGCCCAAUAGAAUGAUGCAGAAGUCCACAAUUUACGACUCCCAUGUGCAGGUAAACCUCACAACUUACAUAGACAAUAAUAAUAAUAAAGGUUAAAAAAAAAGGCACACUUCCAAUGUUCCUUUAUCUUUUAUGUAGAAAAUACAACUAGUUCUACACAUGUUACAAUAAUCAAUUACAAGUGAAACAAUUCCAGGUUACAAAUUACUAAAAGCUCAUCACUGACUAUCCUAAAUCAGUUACACUGCAUCAAAUGUAAACACAAUUGUGCCUCAAAGUCAGUACAACAGUCUUACAAGCUCACAGCGAGCCACAAAUAGUCAAAUAAAUAAUGAAAGAGGCCUUUACAUGUGAUGGACCUAAUACAUGUAACUCAAUUUUACAGAAACAUGAGAUGAUGCUUUACAAAAUGGUAUAUAAACCUAUUAAACAAAAUCCUUUCCAUUUUUUGACAAUUUCAUGGCUUCAACUAUUUCUAGGCAUUCUCUUCCAGGAGAGCAGUUCACACAUUCUUAAGGGCCGCUCGAGGGGGCAAAAAAGUGAAAGCCAAAAUUGUCAAGGCUUGUUUGCACACUUGACAGACCAAAGCCAAUAUUUGAGAAAGCGAAUGAAUGCAGCCCAUCAAACACAUCUUCCUUGGUUGCUACUCCACUCCCUGAAUAUGGUGAUAAAAAGAAAGCCCCCAUGUCAAUAGACUUGGAAAAAGAAAACCUACCAGCCAAAGAGGCCACUAAACUUUCCUCAAAGAGCACUACAUGAUUUUAGUACCAUAUUCCUACAAUCAAUGAAUCAAUCACAAUCACCCAUGACUGGGGACCUCAUGUAAGUCCUACAUGAUAAACAGCCCAGAUUUCACAACAGGGAAGUAAAGCCCUUAACUGGAAGGUGUUUUGCUCUCUUUGAUCAGAUAACAUAUCAAACUCAAGUACGUCCAAAUCCACCCAUUCAUAACAAAAGUCUAAGGGAAUCACACUUCUACAAAACACAAAUACAUUAUUUGCCAUGUGACUUUACUAAAACUACCGUACCCGGCUGAAACUCACAACACCAGAUAUGACAACUUUUCAUUCUAGGAUAAACCAUAAUAAAAUAAUAUCAUACACUAGAAAUUAGGGAAAACAUUCUAUUAUACUAGUUACCACCAAAAUAACGGAACUUCUAAAAUAUAUAAUGAUUUGGAAGAUAGUUCUUUUAUGGCUAAAAUAGUGUUUUGGAAGAAGAAACAAAAGUUCAAAUAGCUGUUUUAAUAUUUAAAAGUAUAUUGAUCUUCAAGAGAACUAAUCAAAUUAAAAUAACUAAUUGAAACUUCAAAGAACAAUCACAAACGAUUAGUAGAAAGAAAAAGAAAGAGGGAAGCAAGAAAAGAAAGCAGCCAACCAUGCCUUCAAGAAAAGCUUCUCUCUCUCUCUCUCUCAUUUUUCUUUGUGAUUUUUUUUCUUCUUUUCGAGUAAAACCAAAAAGAUUGUAUCCGAAGGACAAGAAAAAGAUAUAAAAAAAUUCAAAAAGGUGAACAAGCAAUCCACUGAACCAGCAAACGAAUCAAACAAAACAACCAAACAAAAACAGAAGCACCAAAAAUCAAACACUACUCACGACUUCAAGAAAAGCUUUCAGAAACAGAUUCUUAGUUGACAUUCACUAAGAUACGAAAGAGAAGAUUGGAAGCCAUUUACUAGACCAACAACUCCAAAAAUUGGCCAUCAUAUCCACUUAUCCUUACCCCCAAUUCCAAGCGAAAAAACCUAAAAGAAUUUAACAUUCCAAGUAAUCCACCAGUCCAUAAGCAUAAGCAGCACCACACAUACAUUGUGGAUAUAAUUCAAAAUGGGAGGAUGAAUAACAUAGACUUUAAUAAAUAGUUACGAUGCCCUAGCAAUAUUUGAAACAUUGCUAGUAUGACUUGCUGAUCAAAUAAAACUCACUUGAAAAGAAAAUAAUAAAGGCAUGCUACAUAUCAGCUGUUGCUUCUUCUGAGGAAGGUCAAUUUGAUGGGAAGAUACAAAGACCACAUAUUAAACAUUGUCAAGUCCGAGAGAAACCCCUGAAGUAGGACUUCAUUUUCUAAGACAAGACUAAGAAUCCUUAAUUAGUUGACCAUCACCACUUUGGCCAGCACUUUACCCCUUAUGGGCCGACCCGGUGCGAGCGGGGAUUAGUCUGGGUUGUGGUACGGGCUUAAAGGUGCCUCCCACAGUUGGGGCCCACUCAGGACCACCUCGUGGUUCAGACAAAAAAAAAAAAACUAUUCUAAUAAAAGACAGAUGAAUUCUAAUUCCAAAUUCAAAUCUAAAUGUCAUUUGAAGUGAUACAAAGGACCCAGAAGGCAGAAGGACACAGCUAUCACAUGCAUCAGUUUAAAUAUUAAAGUCAUGCACUGACUCAGACUUACGAGCACCCUUUAAAUACAAUCCCAAUAAAAAUAAUGGGUUGGCAUGGAAAAAAAACCAUAUUCUAUAAUCAACUAUAAAAAAACCAUAUUCUAUAAUCAACAACUACGAGAAGACACAGGUGUAGAAAGCAAUAUGGACAACUAAUUCAAACUAUGAUAUAAUUAGAGUAGGCUUUGUAACAUGUGACCAGAAGCCCCAAAACCAUUGUCUCAGAAAUAGAUUCAGUAGAAUAAAUAUAAAGCCAUUGGGAUACUCGGCAAGGAUAUCAAGAGUCCAACCCUAGAUAGAAUAUCCCCAUUGGCAUGCAACUCAAAGUCACUCAUCAUUUUUUAACAAACAAAUAAGUGUUGGCAGUAACGUUUAUAGAAUGCAGUACGAAAGAACAGAGAAUCUAUGCUUCCCUUCUACAAAUAUGAGAACUUACUUUUCCCUCAAGAAACCACUCUGCAUUUAGGCCACAGUAACCAGGAAAAGCGAUAGGUAGAAGCAUUGUAACAACCCAAGAGCAAUACAGUAAGAUAUAGAGAAUAUGAGGUCUUGUAUGACAUGCCACGGAAGAAUGAAAAGCGUGACUCUGUCACUCUGAUGGUAGCCGUCUCCUCUUCCCAUAGUCCACAUCUCUCGAUCGAGAUCUGUGGUCUUCAUCUGGGAUUACUCCGGACCUGCUCCGAGAUCUUGAAGACGAUUGCCCCUUGUCCCAGUUGUCAUCAUAAGUUGAGUCACGAUCUCUUUGUCGACGAUCACGAUAACUAUCUUUUUCUUCCCUGUGUCUGUGAUCUCUGUGAUCCCUUUCAGAUCUGUCCCAGUCUUGUUCCCUCUCCUCUCGGUGCCUCCUAUCUGUGUUCCCAGACCAGUCACGCUCAGAACCACGAUCCUUUUCCCGGGAGGCAGCAGUUGACCUUGCUCCUUUUUCAUGACUUGCCUCCCCAUACCCAUAAUCAGAAGCACCAUCAUCACCACCAUAACUUGACUCCCUUGUCCUUCGUCCAUAUUCCUCUCCUACCCAUCCACCCAUGCUUGAGUCAGUCCACAUCCCUGGAUGCGGUCCAUCCAUUCCAGAAGAACCCAUCAUACCCAUCCCAUUAGCUGCCAUUCCUCGGUUAAAGAAUGCUGGGUUGACAUGAGGAGCCACCCCAGCAAGGCCCAUUGCAUUAACAGCAGGAAAUGAAGGAAGCAUACCAGGAAAACCUGGACCCGAAAAACCUCCAUAACCACCUCCUCGACCCAUGUAUGUUGGAUCAAACCCUCCCAUCAUAUUCUGUGGAUGCAUCAUACCACCUGCAGGACCCCCAAAGCCAGGACCUGCAAGGCCUUGUCCAUAACCUCCACCAGCAGCAGGUCCAGCACCGCUUCCAGCUCCAGAACUACUCCCAAUCAUGUUCCUUGCACCCAUGGGCCCUCUUCCCCUCAUCGCUCCACCACCAGGACCUCUGUUGGGUACACCCUGCCCACCUCGUCCCCAGCCGCCCCUUCCAAAAUUCCUACCUCCAUCACCACUCUGAUAAUUCGUGUUACCACCUCUCCCACCACCGUCGUUCAUAGGUCUGCUUCCCUGAUUCUGUGACUGAGGCUGGCCUUGGUUUUUGUUCAUGUAAGAAGCUCCCAUCUGUUUCAAUGUUUGAGGAGAAGCAAAAGCCACAACACAUGGUCGUCCAUUGAAAACAUGACCAUUCAUUCCAUCUUUGCACGCAGCUGCAGCAGCUGCAUCAAAGAAUUCGACUUGGCAAUAACCUUUGGAUUUACCACUAGCUCUCUCAUCAAAAAACUUAAUCUCCUUGGCCCUUCCAUACUGAGACAAAACACUUUCAAGCUCCGCAUCAGUUGUCCACCAAUGUAAUUCUCCCACAAACAGCAUUGUCCCACCAUUCUCUAGAGGAGGCCGGAUUUGAUUCUCAUUCACCAUUACACGAUUGACAUUUGCAUUUACACCCAUUUGAUUAGCUGGAAUCAGAGCACCUUGAGGACCAGCAGCACCGGGAUUUAGCACAGGUGCAGGCUCAUUGGCUGCUCUUCCCGGCAGAUUAGAAGGAUCAACUCCAGUUCUUGGGGGACCUGACGUAGACCCUUGAAAACCCAUAUUUCUAACAUGGGCAUCAUGAGUUGUCUCUUGGACACUCCCUUUCUGUGAAACAGAAGCUCCAUCUGGGUAAUUACCAGAUCCCAUGUUUGGUCUGUUGACAGCAACCUGCACAUCAUUUUGAGCAGGAAAGUGGGACCCAGCAUUGGUGUACUUUCCUUCAACAGAAACCCCAGGGAUGUUUGACCCUUGUGAACCCCCAACUUGAACUCGUUGCUCGGGAACAUCAGUUUUCUUAACUUGAAGUCUUCCAUUGCCCACACCAGCGGAUGGGGGAGGUGCCUCAGGCUGCUGAAACUGCAAUAAACCAUCUCCGACAUUAACAUCAUUAUAUAGAUCAUCAUACUCAUCAUCUUCUCCCAUCAACUCUUCAUCUGCAAGAGCAGGUAUAGCUCCACCUCCCUGAUACUGCAUCUUUUGAGCCCC